rnacentral:rRNA from 1 species
CCUACGGGAGGCAGCAGUGGGGAAUAUUGCACAAUGGGGGAAACCCUGAUGCAGCGACGCCGCGUGAGUGAAGAAGUAUUUCGGUACGUAAAGCUCUAUCAGCAGGGAAGAAAAUGACGGUACCUGACUAAGAAGCCCCGGCUAACUACGUGCCAGCAGCCGCGGGAAUACGUAGGGGGCCAGCGUUAUCCGGAUUUACUGGGUGUAAAGGGAGCGUAGACGGCAGCGCAAGUCUGGAGUGAAAUCCCAUGGGUUAACCAUGGAACUGCUUUGGAAACUGUGGAGCUGGAGUGCAGGAGAGGUAAGCGGAAUUCCUAGUGUAGCGGUGAAAUGCGUAGAUAUUAGGAGGAACACCAGUGGCGAAGGCGGCUUACUGGACUGUAACUGACGUUGAGGCUCGAAAGCGUGGGGAGCAAACAGGAUUAGAUACCCUUGUAGUC